GGGGGGGUCAAGGCGAGGCUGCAUGUCUGAUCUUCUAGAGGAAAAAUUCAGAACAGUGGAGACUUAAAAUACUAGUACAGGAUAAAUCAAUAACCCCUCGACGGUUAAUCUAAAACCAACCAACAAAUAAAUAAAUCCCCCCCGUGGGGGUCUUAGCCCAGCUGUUUUGUAAGACUGUCUCAGCCUUGAUUAGUCUCAGCUCCUGAUCGAUAGGAGCUGAUCAGGUUCCUAGGGCAGCUUUAAAGCAGCGUUCAGAAACCAGAACAGACAGAAGAACAAUUCAAAUAGCGGGGGGCUCUGCCUUUCAGCCCGCCUAGGGGCUGGAGCUGCUCGGAGACACAGCAGAGCGAAGGUGCUUGGCUACCCGGGGCAUUUCAGGGUCUUCUUGCCAUGCCGAGAAGUCCCUGUUCACGGUACCAGGCGGCUACUGAUGCCCGGCCCUGACCAAGUGCCCAGAGCCCGGGGUGCGGAGGAGACGUGCCCUGCACGGGGAUCGAGACCAGACCAGGGCUGACGUGGAACAGCCCGCUAGCAAUGGUGCAGGGCUGCGGUGCCAGCCAGAUCCCUGGUCAGACGGGAAAUGCAGAACGCACGGCGGGUUCUGUCCUCCAGGCUGCCGGGACAAACAACUGGGCGCUCGAGAUGCUGGUAAAGAACCGGCAGUUCCUCGAGAUGUCCCUUUGUGAUCGUUUUCCUCCCCCAGAAUUGGCAGGUGAAACGUAGGAUCCAAAUAACCCGAAAUUAACCAGUUUCCGGAAGAUCCCGAUCGAUUGCGGAAGUUCCUUGACGCCCCAAAUCUGCGUGAGCAGAAAAGCAGAUCGAAAUCGUUCCCCGCCGGUGUCUGUUGCUCUUGGCUGGGGAAAAUGCCUCAUGUCUGCUCCCCGCUCCAGGACACACCCGGAGAGGAGUCACCCCUCACCUCCCCGCAGCCAAACCAAGGAGCAAACCAGGGUGCGGUUCCAUGGUCACCGGUUUUCACCGGAACCGACUUCUACCCCCAACAGCAAAUCAAAAAGGGACCAAAUUUCCUUGGAGAAACAAUCGCAAAUCUCCCCUCCCUGAAAGUGACCACAGAGCGACCCCCGGAAAAGCCAGAACUAACGAAACCCACAAAAUCUUUAGCCUAUUGUCAUCGAAACAAUGGUUUCGGUUCUCUCCGGACUUACACAAGUUAACACCAGGACUUGGAAAUAAACGUAUUUAGUCAUAA